rnacentral:misc_RNA from 1 species
CGAAAUUGAAAAACAGGCGCCAUAUUAAAAUGGCGACGGUUAGUGAAUCUGAUAAAUAAAAAUGAUUGGAUUUAUCGGAUAUUUGUUAUAGUUGAACGAAGUAUAAAAUUGCUAAUAGUAGAGGUUAACCUUCAUUAAAGAGAAUCGAUUUCCUCUUUGAAUCGCCGCUUCGAUUGAGGUUAGUAUGAUAUCGUAUUUGCGUGCAUGUUGCGGUUUUGACGACUUUAAUGGGGAUAUUUGGCACGGAUAGCACGCAAAAGAGAUAAGCUUUUUUGAUAAUUUGGGCGACUGUUUACUUAAUAUUUUACUUUAAGAAAUAUUUGAAAUAAAAAACACAUUUUAUCAACUUGAUAUUAGUGAGUGAUUGCUCAAUGAUUCGUCGAUAUUGGAUAAAGUUUGUUCGUCAUGGUGAAGGAUAUUAUGCCUGAGGUGAAAGCAAAUCCGUCCCAGAUUCUCCUGGAUGCUGUUAGGAAGAUUCGGGGUCAGAAACAACGACCGAACUUUGAUCGCCUUUCUCAUGCUGUUCGAUUACAAAAGUGGUCAACAGAGGUUCUAACAGAGUAUAUUAACAAAGCUGUUGAAGAUGGAAUUAUCCUGAGAAUGUAUGAUAACAAGGGUCUUAUGACGUAUAAAGAUCCUCAAACCGUUUCUAAACUCAAAACCAGGGAUUUGCAUGUAGGAGCCGCUUCGGAUUUAACUAAAGUUUUAAUCAGAACUUUGAAAGAAUUGGGCGAUCCUGCAGACAUAGAUCAGGUUGAAAAACAUAUUAGAACUGGCUAUCAUUUGACUAUGGCGUUCAAAGCUGAUUUGCGUCAGUCAAUUGAAAGCGCCUUGGAUAAAGGUGUAAAAUCGUCUAAGUUUCUGUAUAAAGAUGGAAAAUACUCUCCAAUAGAUGAUCACGAUAAAGCAGUUGCAGAUAUGGCAUCUUUCAAUCAGACGGGAGCGGCACCAGCUAAAACUACUUGCACUACCUGUUUAACCGGUUCAGGAAAAGAACAAGCUCUGUUAUCAUGCUUUGAUUGUGGUGAAAGCUGGCAUCCCAGUUGCUUGCGAAUUGGUGCUGAUUUGGCUAAAAAAAUCAAAACAAUGAGAUGGCAGUGUCGACAAUGUAAAACAUGUUCAGCUUGUGGAAAACGUUGUGAUAGUAACUUAAAAGUUUCGGAGAACACUGAAAACCCCAAAAUUGUACUCUGUCUACAGUGCGAUCGGGGAUUUCAUGCUGAAUGUUCGAAGAAAAGUAAGGAUGAGAAUUGGAUUUGUCCUUUAUGUUUAUCGGCACCAAAACUUAAAGCAAGAAAACGUAAAAGAUCAAAUAGUGAGAAAAGGACAAGAACCAGUUCUGGAGAUUUUAACGGACAGGCCUCGAAACGCUCAUUAAAAGAUAAAUACCCAACUUUACAUUCUUAUACCACAAAAACUGAUAAAUCUCCAGGAACUCUUCAAAAUUUUCCGUCUUCAGUCUUGAGUAGCAGUGAAUCAAAAGCUACCGGCGACAAUCAUACAAAAAAUUUAUUCGAUGGUUUAUCAAAUUUUUUUACGCCUAGUGGAAGCAGACGGAUGUCUAAUAGUUGUCCUCGAGCACCAGUUGAAGGGAAUAAUACCCGUAAUAAUAAUGAAAAUGAGACAGUUGUGAAGGAACCAACUGAUCGUUACAAAAAGUUAAAAAGUGUAAGAAAGAUGAAUAGUCACACAGAAUUUAGAAAUAGUGUAUUGAAAAAGUUUAAGAGGAAAUCUGAAAAUCGUCAGAGUUUAAAAAACAGAACUAACAAAUUACUAGAAAGAGUAAAGCAGGCAGAGGCGAAACUAACUCCUAGCACGUCUGGGUCAGAUACAGACACGGAUGUACUAUCUAUUAGAAGUAGUAGUCCCUUGAUUAUUGCCCAAAAUGUCACACCCCAUGUUAGUGCCCAAGAUGUGGAACUUUUUCAACAAGCUCGUGAGAAGGCUCUGGAGAGUUUAGCAACUUGCAUUGAAAACCCAUUAACAGCUGAUCGAUUUCCUGCUGCUAUAGCUUUUGGCCGCUACCACAUUGACACAUGGUAUUCAUCUCCUUAUCCCGAAGAGUAUGCAAAGUUGGCUCGGUUGUACAUUUGUGAAUUUUGUCUGAAGUAUAUGAAAAGUGAGAAAAUGAUUGAAAGGCAUAGAAGCAAAUGCUGUCUUUGGUCUCCACCAGCCAAUCAAAUCUGGCGUUCGGCUGAUUUGUCGAUGUGGGAGGUAGACGGCAGUAAACAGCGUAUCUACUGUCAAAAUUUAUGUCUGUUAGCUAAAUUGUUUCUAGAUCACAAAACCUUAUAUUUUGAUGUUGAACCAUUUGUAUUUUACGUUUUGACGAAAAGAGAUCUUCAUGGUGACCAUUUGGUUGGCUAUUUCAGUAAAGAAAAACAUUCUUCGCAAAAAUAUAAUUUAUCAUGCAUUAUGGUUAUGCCUCAGCACCAACGCAAAGGAUUUGGCAGGUUUUUAAUUGAAUUCUCAUAUUUACUAUCUCGAAAGGAAGGAAGAACUGGAACACCUGAAAAGCCUCUGUCUGAUCUUGGAAGAGUAUCUUAUGAAGCGUAUUGGAAAAACGUGAUACUAUUGUUUUUACACGAGCGCCGAAAGCAACGAUUAAUCCAAACAAUCUCAAUAGAGGAUAUUAGUAGGUACACAGGAAUGUGUCCACAUGAUAUUGUACACACUCUUAACCGAAUUGGUUUUUUGAAAAUCUCGGAUCGUCGCGUUUCUCUUUCUGUUGAUUGGUCGAUUGUAAGUGAUCAAGUAGAGAAGGAUAAGUCGAACUUAACGAGGAUUUCAUUGGAUGAAGAAAAAUUAAAAUGGAGUCCUCCAACGUCAAGCCCCGGUGAAGAUAAAGAUCUGACAGAAAUUCAGUUUGACGAUGACAGUGAAGCUAGAGGCAGUCCUGAAUUAAAGAAACAAAAUUAUAAAGGAAAAAACCACGUUGGAAAGAAUCGCAAAUGUUCUAACAUUUUAUCGGAAAAUCCACCUUUAACACCACCUAGCGAACAUGAAAAUGUUUGUCCAAAAAAUAAUCAGAAGCCUAAAUCAAAGCUCAGAAUGGAAAAUCAUAAAUUGCGAAAGACCAGUACCUCCAAUGAAGUUAACGAUAUCUCAAUGGUGAAGGAAAUGGGCAGAGGUCGGGGUAGACCAAGAAAAAUUCAGCAAGUGUUAAAUAAAUAUUUUUCACCAAUACCUGACGAAGCUCCAGUCACCGAAUCUCCUACUGAAUCUAUAACACACAAUUCUCCGCAUCAAUCUCCAUUAGCUGAUCAUUCUCCAGUUUCUAAUAAUUCAAUGAUGAGAAAAAUUAAUAGAAUAGGAAGAACAAAAAAGAAAGUUUCCCCAGUGAGCAAAAGUCAUGAUGAAGUAAGAAACGAAACAAACGAAAAGCGAGAUUCACCUCCUCCCCCUCCUGUUUUAACACCCGAGGAAAGUGAUGAAAUUAGUCCAACUUCUCCGGCGCCCAACUCAACUUCAUCAACAGGUAGUGAUGCAGAUGAUGAAUGUGACAUAUCAUCAAGCAGCUCAUCAACCACUAGUACCGAAAAUAAUUCAGGAUCUGACUCAUCUGGAGAAUGUGAGAUUGAUAACGAUGGAACUUCAAGUCAUAUUGCUGGAAUUGUCGCUGGUGAAAAGAAUGACGGAUUUUUGGUUGAGGAAAAUUUAAAUGGGAAUAUUGAGGAGAACAAGGAUUUAGAAGCAGUCUCUCUCAAUGACAUAGCAACUCAAAUUACAUCGCCAAAGUCUGUAUCAUCUUCAUCGUCUGAUUCUUCAUCUUCAUCAUCUACCUCCUCUUCAAGUAGCAGUUCUGCUGAUUCUUCAACUGAAAAUUCAUGUAUAGAAGCGGAGAACGAAUCUAUUCUUUUCGAAAGACCAAAUCAUGAUCCAGACCUUGAAGAUGAAGUCAAAAUUGACAAAGUUACCAUGGAUUUAACAAAAGACAAUCAAAUGCAUGAACAUCACGAAAUCAGUGAGAACCCUGUGAAUCUCCCCAUUGAACAGAAUAUAACUCAAAUUCAAAAUCAUUCUGAAGCAGUAAGACUAGAACAAGAGAAUGAAAGUAUGAUGUUCGAUUUAAUUGAUACACCGAUGACUCAACCAGAGGAGCAACCGUCUAUGAGACAGCCUUUUAGUGAUUGUGCUCAAACAUCAUAUAUGGCAUCUCCAGCUAGCAACUACAUUCCCUCAUCACCGGGAAGCACUCAUUCUGCAGCUUACAACACACCAAAUAAUUAUAUUCAUUCACCUAGCUACAUGCCAAAUCCAAGCCCUAAUUCAACAGGCCAGUACAGUCAGUCGGGAGCUGCAGCUGGAGCUGCAAGAAAUGGAUCUAAUACUUCCCCACCAGAACAAAUGUAUAAUAUGGCUUCUCCUUCACCAACUACGUUACCUCAGGCCUCUCCGAAUGCAACCUACAUGCUACCCCCACAAAUGUUAAACAACAGCAUGAUGAGAGUUGAUCAAACUACUGUUUCAGUUCUAUCCCAGAAGUAUAACGCUCCUGUGCAAUCGCAGCCAUACCUAGGUCGAGGAGAUUAUUCGCUAGCAAAACUUCAUGAGCUUGCGAAUGGAACUCCUCCAGUUAUGCAUAAUGGGUUAACUGGCCAUGAACAUGGACUAUCCCCAGGAAAACAUCCUCUGUAUCACCCAGGAGGAGCUCAAAUGUAUUCUGCUACAAACAAUAGCUGCUCUUCACGAGUAUUUGGGGGAAACCCUAAUGUUUCCUUACAGCCACCAGGAGGCACUAAUAUGAUUGCCGGUUAUUUCAACGCACCUCCACAAAUGAAUGGGGUUCGAGCCCAUAUGCAGCAAAUGCCCCCGCCAAUGCACCAUGGAGGGUGGAUGCCAUCAUCACAUAACACUGCAUAUGGAAUGAUGGGUAUGAUGCAGCAGAGCACAAAUGCGUCUCAACAAUGGAAUCAGCAAUCGUAUAUGACUCAAUUUAAUAUGACUGCAAGAAGGUAGCAGUGCUUUAAUGUGAUGUUUGCAUAUCUGCAUAACCACGUCAAAACUGUCGACUAAUGGUCACCUUUCAUUAAAUCCCAUGCAUAAAUGUGCUGUAAUUUUGGAAUAGCGACUGUCACUUCGUUUUUACUCAUUUCUUUAGAUAUAUUCGUUAUCAGCAGUUUAUACAUAUUCUGAUACAAAGAAUAAAUAAAGUACACACCAAUACGCGCAUACGCUAUGUAUAUUUAUAUGACGUAUGUGAGAGACAGUGUGUAUAUCUAAUAUC